UACAGUUCUUGCGGCGGGUGGAGCAAUUUGCCGACGGCUUACGUCCGUUUAAGGUUCGGUUGGAGAUGAUCUCAUCUCCGGCCUUCAUCACCUCAGCGGUAUUCCUAUGCUGAGCUCGAUCCUCAAUUGUUCCGUCCUCACUCACUCUCCCCACCCCCUCUCUCUCUCUCUCUCCUCCCCCUGGAUUCUAAGCUGUUUUUGAUAUCUCGAAUCAAAUUUCUCUGAUCGGCUUGCGUUUAAAUCAAGGGCUAUUAAUUUGUUCCCCGUGAAGGCAAAAAGGCCUGGAUCUCAGCUCAGUUCCUCGGAUUCGAGGACAAGCACGAUUUCAUUCUGUUCAAUCGCUGCAUAUAAAAGGUGACUCGCUUUCCUCUCUGAUAAUCAGAGGUCUUGCAGAAUUUUUGAAAUGGACGAUAUCAUCAACCAAUUGCGGGAUCGAAUCAUCAACUAAUCUGAUUUGUCCCUCCAAACCUUCAGUAACGAUAGACACGCCGACCAAAGAUCGGCGGUCCUCCUCCGUCAUCGCCAAGGGCCGGCGGUGGAGGAAGCAGAAAAACUGGGAAUUGAAAAUUCAAAAAAAUCUGCCUGUUUCUCUCUCUAACGGCUGUUUCUCUCUCUCAACUUAGAUUUCAUCUGCACAGUCAUCACUAAGGAGGUUUUUAUAUAAGCCGUCAUCUUAAUAACAAAUUGGUCUCUCUCUUCUCUCAUCCUAUGGAGUCCAAUGUCUCCGAAUUUGAUUCUUCUUUGUUUAUUUUAAUCAUCUUUUUCUUUCAUAAUUUUUUUUCAUUAAUAUAAAUAUGAGAUUAAUACUCUUAAAAUUUUAAAGUAAGUGGUGGUGUUUUUUUAUUUUCAAGUGAUCCCUCGCGGCUACGAUGUUAUUGACUAUGGAGAAAAUGGAGGAUUGGAGGUCAAGGAAGUCGAAAGGAAGUUGUUGCAGGUUGGGGUUGUAUUAAAGCGUGAUUUUUUUUAGGCUUUAAUUUCUGAUUUAGUUAAGUUUUAAUAAAAAAUAUAUAUAAACAGGGUGAGGGGUAAGCCUCACGUUAGCAUGGCGUGGUGUGCCUCAAGGCGGGCCUCAGCUUGCCUCAGCCAAGCUGAGGCGCAAUCCUCAUAAACAAAGUUUGUUGCAGCCUCAUCGACAUGGUCUAACAUAAUAAGGCAGAAGAUAGUCACCGGGCGACUCAGGAAGAAGAUCAGAACUUGGAUGCUGUGUGGACGGCACAAACAAAUGACGUGAAACAGUUGGGGGAUCUCUCGGCAGGUUCCUUCUCUUUGCUAUAGAAAUGAGGGAGGUGAUUCAAGCCAUCAAUAUUGGUAAUGGCACCAACGUGAAUCCUUGACGUGCAGUUCCAACAACUAUAUUGACAGCUGCACGAGGGGUAAUGUUCGAACGUUCAUUGAAAAUGAACCAAGAUUUAUUUCCAGAACUCUCAGAUUCGGAUGGAGAUUACGAAUAUAGGAAAACAUUCAAAGUUUUCGAUUCAGAAGAUGGAGAUUAUAUGGAUAAUAAUGUGGACAGGCGCACGUGAGACCUAUUUCAUCUCCACUAAGGUGAAUUUCGAGUUAAAUUGGAUAUCCCAUUUUUUGAUGCACGAUUGCACAAUGAAGGAGAGAGCAGUAAAAGCUUUCUUUGAAUACAUGAGAUUGAACGAGACAAACAUGUGAAGUACAUGGCUUGCUGAUUGAAGGGUGGUGCUAGUGCGUGGUGGAUACAACUGUUGCAAACUCGAAGGCGUGAAGGAAAAAGAGCUGUUAGGAGCUAGUAUAAAAUGAAACAAUUGAUGAGGGGUUACUUCUUCCCAACCGAUUUUGAACAAAUGCUCUAUUUAACAUACCAACAUUGUGUGCAAGGAAAUUAUUCUGUGAGCGAAUACACUGAAGAGUUCUUUAGGUUGAGUGUUCUCAAUAAUCUUAAUGAAUCUAACAAUCAAUUAGUUGCUCGAUAUAUUGGAGGGCUCAAGGAUGUUAUAGAAGACAAGAUAGAACUCAAUAUGGUUGGUCGCUUUCCCAAGUCGCGGAUUUUUCUUUCAAGGCAGAGAUGCAUCUGCUUAGACAAUCUAAAAGUUCAUCCAACCGCCGUCAUUAUAGUAAGCAUGCUACAGAUUCCAAAAAUCUUGUAGUUGGUUCCAAGCAAAUACAAACCCAGUACACACUGUGCCAAACUACCAACAGCCAGCUAAUCCAAAACUUCCAGUUAGACCCCAUGCUACAGUUAAAGAUGUUCCAUUCUGUAAACCAACAAACUUCAAAUGUUUUCACUAUUUUCAGUUGGGCCAUAAGUCGAAUGAAUGCCUGAAUAAACCCCAUGUUCAGAUUGCCGAAGGAGACCAGAUAGAGAAUUGGGUUAGUCCUGAUGGAGAUGGUGAAGAUGAGGCUGAGGAUGUGGUGGAUGAUGAAGGUGAAGCUAUUCUUUGCAUCUUAGAAAAGCUUUUAUAAGCUCCUCGACAACCUGUUACCACUCAAUGCAAUGCUAUCUUUAGAACUCGUAACACUAUGAAUGGAAAGGUGUGUGACUUACUCAUAGAUAUUGAGUGUAUUGAGAAUAUUGUAUUACAAUUUCUUGUAAUUUCUUUACAAUUAAAAACAACUAAGAAUCCUGGACCGUAUAAAAUCAGUUGGCUUAAAAAAGGAAUCUAUAUAUAGGUUACUGAAAUGUGUAGGUUCAAAUUUUCCAUUGGGAAACAUUAUUCUUGUGAAGUGCUUUGUGAUGUCCUUGAAAUGGACAUUUGCCAUAUUAUCAUAGGUCAUCCCUAAAAAUACGAUAUUGGAGCAAUAUAUGAUUGUCGCUUGAACACAUAUUCAUUUGAUUGUAGGGGAGGAAGUUAAGACUACUACCAAAUGUAAUAGAAACAUCUGUCCGAAUUAAUAAAGACAAGGCUGUUCUAAAUCUAAUAUCUGGACGUGCUAUACCCAUUGCUGCAAGCCUGCUACAGUUUUGCUCUUGUUGCUACUGAAAUUCCACCUCACAGUGCAGAUUUUCCCAUGCCAGAACCGAAUUCAGAAUUGUUACAGAAAUUCAAAGAUAUUAGCCCAACUGAACUACCUUCAACCUUACCACCAUUGCGAGCUCUUCAACAUCAAAUAGACUUCAUUCCAGGAGUGACAUUGUUAAAUCUACCCCAUUACAAAAUGAACUCAUGAGAACACAAGAUUUUGCAAGACUUAGUAGAUGACCUCUUGGAGAAACAAUUGAUCCAACCAAGUUUAAGUCUGUGUGUUUUCCCAACACUAAUUGUUCCAAAGAAGGAUGGAAAGUGAAAAAUAUACAUUGGCAGUAGGGCCAUUUACAAUAUCACAACCAAAUUUAGAUUUCCCCUGCCGAGGAUAGAAGAUUUGCUUGAUAAACUAGUUGGAUCUCAGAUUUUUUCAAAAUUUCACCUCUGUAGUGGCUGCCAUCAAAUUCGUAUUAGACCUGGAGAUGAAUGGAAAUAUCAUUCAAGAAUCGUCAAGCGCUCUAUGAGUGGAAGGUUAUGCUCUUUGGAUGGUGCAAUGCCCCGAAAACAUUCAUGCGGCUCAUGAAUGGGGAACACAAAGCUUUCCUUGGAAAAUUUUGUGUUGUUUACUUCAAUGACAUUCUUGUCUAUAGUCAA